rnacentral:rRNA from 1 species
UACAGAGGGGGCAAGCGUUGUUCGGAAUUACUGGGCGUAAAGGGCGCGUAGGCGGCCUUCUAAGUCGAACGUGAAAUCCCCGGGCUCAACCCGGGAACUGCGUCCGAUACUGGAAGGCUUGAAUCCGGGAGAGGGAUGUGGAAUUCCAGGUGUAGCGGUGAAAUGCGUAGAUAUCUGGAGGAAUACCGGUGGCGAAGGCGGCAUCCUGGACCAUUACUGACGCUGAGGCGCGAAAGCUAGGGGAGCAAACGGG